CCUACGGGGGGCAGCAGUGGGGAAUAUUGCACAAUGGGGGAAACCCUGAUGCAGCGACGCCGCGUGAAGGACGAAGUAUUUCGGUACGUAAACUUCUAUCAGCAGGGAAGAAAAUGACGGUACCUGACCAAGAAGCCCCGGCUAACUACGUGCCAGCAGCCGCGGUAAUACGUAGGGGGCAAGCGUUAUCCGGAUUUACUGGGUGUAAAGGGGGCGCAGACGGCAAUGCAAGCCAGGAGUGAAAGCCCGGGGCCCAACUCCGGGACUGCUUUUGAAACUGUGUUGCUAGAUUGCAGGAGAGGUAA
rnacentral:rRNA from 1 species